UAUGACCUGGCUACAAACGUGCUACAAUGGACAGAACAAAGGGCUGCGAGACCGCAAGGUUUAGCCAAUCCCACAAAUCUGUUCUCAGUUCGGAUCGCAGUCUGCAACUCGACUGCGUGAAGCUGGAAUCGCUAGUAAUCGCGGAUCAGCAUGCCGCGGUGAAUACGUUCCCGGGCCUUGUACACACCGCCCGUCACACCACGAGAGUUUGCAACACCCGAAGUCGGUGAGGUAACCUUUAUGGAGCCAGCCGCCGAAGGUGGGGCAGAUGAUUGGGGUGAAGUCGUAACAAGGUAGCCGUAUCGGAAGGUGCGGCUGGAUCACCUCCUU
rnacentral:rRNA from 1 species